UUUCCGUAGGUGAACCCGCGGAAGGAUCAUUAACGAGUUAGGGUCUUCUAGGCCCGACCUCCCAACCCUUUGUUUACUGAACCAUUGUCGCCUCGGUGGGUCCGUCUUACGACCGCCGGGUGAUCGCCGCGAGGCGCCCCCUGGCCAUCGCCCACCGAUAGCCCAACCUUUAAAACCCUUUGUGAAUCGUGUCUUAUGUCUAAAUUUAUGAUUAAACAAUCAAAACAAAACUUUCAACAACGGAUCUCUUGGUUCUGGCAUCGAUGAAGAGCAGC
rnacentral:misc_RNA from 1 species